AUGAACGCUAGCUACAGGCUUAACACAUGCAAGUCGAGGGGAAACGACAUCGAAAGCUUGCUUUUGAUGGGCGUCGACCGGCGCACGGGUGAGUAACGCGUAUCCAACCUGCCCACCACUUGGGGAUAACCUUGCGAAAGUAAGACUAAUACCCAAUGAUAUCUCUAGAAGGCAUCUGAAAGAGAUUAAAGAUUUAUCGGUGAUGGAUGGGGAUGCGUCUGAUUAGCUUGUUGGCGGGGUAACGGCCCACCAAGGCAACGAUCAGUAGGGGUUCUGAGAGGAAGGUCCCCCACAUUGGAACUGAGACACGGUCCAAACUCCUACGGGAGGCAGCAGUGAGGAAUAUUGGUCAAUGGACGAGAGUCUGAACCAGCCAAGUAGCGUGCAGGAAGACGGCCCUAUGGGUUGUAAACUGCUUUUAUAAGGGAAUAAAGUGAGUCUCGUGAGACUUUUUGCAUGUACCUUAUGAAUAAGGACCGGCUAAUUCCGUGCCAGCAGCCGCGGUAAUACGGAAGGUCCGGGCGUUAUCCGGAUUUAUUGGGUUUAAAGGGAGCGUAGGCCGGAGAUUAAGCGUGUUGUGAAAUGUAGACGCUCAACGUCUGCACUGCAGCGCGAACUGGUUUCCUUGAGUACGCACAAAGUGGGCGGAAUUCGUGGUGUAGCGGUGAAAUGCUUAGAUAUCACGAAGAACUCCGAUUGCGAAGGCAGCUCACUGGAGCGCAACUGACGCUGAAGCUCGAAAGUGCGGGUAUCGAACAGGAUUAGAUACCCUGGUAGUCCACGCCGUAAACGAUGAGUGCUAAGUGUUAGGGGGUUUCCGCCCCUUAGUGCUGCAGCUAACGCAUUAAGCACUCCGCCUGGGGAGUACGACCGCAAGGUUGAAACUCAAAGGAAUUGACGGGGACCCGCACAAGCGGUGGAGCAUGUGGUUUAAUUCGAAGCAACGCGAAGAACCUUACCAAAUCUUGACAUCCUUUGACAACUCUAGAGAUAGAGCUUUCCCCUUCGGGGGACAAAGUGACAGGUGGUGCAUGGUUGUCGUCAGCUCGUGUCGUGAGAUGUUGGGUUAAGUCCCGCAACGAGCGCAACCCUUAAGCUUAGUUGCCAUCAUUAAGUUGGGCACUCUAAGUUGACUGCCGGUGACAAACCGGAGGAAGGUGGGGAUGACGUCAAAUCAGCACGGCCCUUACGUCCGGGGCUACACACGUGUUACAAUGGCAGGUACAGAGAGACGGUCCCUUGCAAAACGGAUCAAAUCCUUAAAGCCUGUCUCAGUUCGGACUGGGGUCUGCAACCCGACCCCACGAAGCUGGAUUCGCUAGUAAUCGCGCAUCAGCCAUGGCGCGGUGAAUACGUUCCCGGGCCUUGUACACACCGCCCGUCAAGCCAUGAAAGCCGGGGGCGCCUAAAGUCCGUGACCGUAAGGAGCGGCCUAGGGCGAAACUGGUAAUUGGGGCU
rnacentral:rRNA from 1 species